GAUGAACGCUGGCGGCGUGCCUAAUACAUGCAAGUCGAGCGAACGGACGAGAAGCUUGCUUCUCUGAUGUUAGCGGCGGACGGGUGAGUAACACGUGGAUAACCUACCUAUAAGACGGGGAUAACUUCGGGAAACCGGAGCUAAUACCGGAUGAUAUUUUGAACCGCAUGGUUCAAAAGUGAAAGACGGUCUUGCUGUCACUUAUAGAUGGAUCCGCGCUGCAUUAGCUAGUUGGUAAGGUAACGGCUUACCAAGGCAACGAUGCAUAGCCGACCUGAGAGGGUGAUCGGCCACACUGGAACUGAGACACGGUCCAGACUCCUACGGGAGGCAGCAGUAGGGAAUCUUCCGCAAUGGGCGAAAGCCUGACGGAGCAACGCCGCGUGAGUGAUGAAGGUCUUCGGAUCGUAAAACUCUGUUAUUAGGGAAGAACAUAUGUGUAAGUAACUGUGCACAUCUUGACGGUACCUAAUCAGAAAGCCACGGCUAACUACGUG
rnacentral:rRNA from 1 species